UGAGAUCCAUGGCCUCCUCUACCCACCCCCAUAUGCAGAUGCCUAACCUGGCCACACUGAUUUCUACAGGACCCCGGGCAUGGGCCCUCCAUCCUUGACAUGCCCUUCCCACAACCGCUGCUGCCCCUUCUCAACAGCUCAGCCCUCAGUACCUCCAGGAAGCCGUCCCUACUCCCUCUUUCCCGCGCUGCAGUAUGGGGACCCCUCACCUCUUGUCGACUCCCCUCUCCUAGCGGGGCACCUCCCACCUGUCUGAUUUCCCUCAGUCCCCAGUGCGGACCCUGUGCCUUUAUCCGCCCUGGCCUGCUGAGCAUGGUUUCUCACAGACUCAGCAUUUGCAGGGGCCCCCGGAUGAGACAGAGGAAAGACAAAAUGACAUUUGGGGGGAUGCGGGGCAAUGUCUGAGGACAUCUGUGGUUGUCACAAGUGGGGGUGCUGCUGCCAUUGAAUGGGUGGGGCCAGGGAUGCUGUUAACCCCCCAUAGGGCCCAGGACGGCUUCUCAGAGCGGGGCCGGCCCAGAUGUGGAGCGUGGGAAUUCAUCUCUGCCUCAGCCACCAGGUGCUGCCUGCUCCGUCAUCAAGGUCCACCAGCGGCAAGGCUUUCAGUGCCGGGUGACACCCGGAAGGAGAUUCCCGUCUGGCUUCAGUGUUCACAGCCUUAGGGGUGGCAAGGACCUCAGUCCCCGCCCCACCACCACAUCGGCGCAAAGCAGACCACAUGCCCACCUUGCCUCCCAUGUGUGCGUCUCCUGUGGCUGCUGUAAGACAUGACAACAGGCAGAGGCAACUGUUUCAGAACCGAGCCCACCGUCCCCGCGAGGGUGACACAACACUGCUCCCCACCUCCCUGCCCAGGCUGGGGGCCCUCAGACAGCGUGACCCCCUCGAGUGACUUUUCCCAACCUGCCCUACCCUGGCCCCAAACGCACCCCCUUCCUCCUCCACCCCUGCAAAAAGCAACCUGCUUCUGUUUGUUUUCCAAGAGGCCACAUUUCCCCCCCUUUCCACCCAUGAUGAUUACAAACUUAAGUUUACUUUGGCGGGAAACAGCACAGGGCCUGCCAAUGAAGACAGAACCCUCCCCACCCCAAGUCUCGAGUCCCAGGGUCCGGAGGCUUCUGCGGAGAUUUUGGAGACAACCCCACUGGGACAGUCUUUUUGGGGCUGCAAGCCCCCUGUGUUGGGGGUCAGCUGGGAUCUGGGUCACGCUCUGGCCUCAGCCAUGGUGGGUAAACACAGUGUGACCCAGGGACCGGUGGCCAGCCGUCGGCAGGCCUGGAUUCUGGACUCUGGGCCCAGCAGCGCCUGUCCGGCUCGAAACCGCGAAACACCGUGGGACCCGCAAGAAAUGCUCGUGUCGCGCGUUUUAAAACGUGAGAGAUCGAAUCCAGAGAGCCAUCAUUAUGACCCAUUAUUCGCAGGUAAUUUCGGAAAAUAAUUUUGACCUAUUGGGGGGGUGGCGGU